GCCUUGAUGGUGAAAUGGUAGACACGCGAGACUCAAAAUCUCGUGCUGAAGAGCGUGGAGGUUCGAGUCCUCUUCAAGUCA
rnacentral:tRNA from 1 species